GACGAACCGUGCGAACGUUAUUCGGAAUCACUGGGCUUAAAGCGCGUGUAGGCGGGCGGGUACGUCGGCCACUGAAAGCCCCCGGCUCAACCGGGGAAGUGGUGCCGAAACGGCCGGCCUGGAGGGGCGUAGGGGGACCUGGAACUUCCGGUGGAGCGGUGAAAUGCGUUGAGAUCGGAAGGAACGCCCGUGGCGAAAGCGGCCAGCUGGCGCUGACCUGACGCUGAGGCGCGAAGGCGUGGGGAGCGAACGGG
rnacentral:rRNA from 1 species